rnacentral:rRNA from 1 species
AUACGAAGGUGGCAAGCGUUGUUCGGAAUCACUGGGCUUAAAGAGCACGUAGGCGGACUGUCAAGCGUCUUGUGAAAGCCCUCGGCUCAACCGAGGAAUUGCUUAGCGAACUGACAGUCUUGAGGCAAUCAGGGGCACACAGAACUCUUGGUGGAGCGGUGAUAUGCGUAGAUAUCAAGAGGAAUGCCGGUGGCGAAGGCGGUGUGCUGGGAUUGUCCUGACGCUGAGGUGCGAAAGCCAGGGGAGCGAACGGGAUUAGAUACCCCGGUAGUCCUGGCCCUAAACGAUGUCCACUAGGCUGAAGGCUCUCUGACGGGUUUUCGGCCGAAAUGAAAACGUUAAGUGGACCGCCUGGGGAGUACGGUCGCAAGGCUAAA